GAUGAAGAACGCAGCGAAAUGCGAUAAGUAAUGUGAAUUGCAGAAUUCAGUGAAUCAUCGAAUCUUUGAACGCACAUUGCGCCCGCCAGUAUUCUGGCGGGCAUGCCUGUUCGAGCGUCAUUUCAACCAUCAAGCCCCGGGCUUGUGUUGGGGACCUGCGGCUGCCGCAGGCCCUGAAAUGCAGUGGCGGGCUCGCUGUCACUCCGAGCGUAGUAGUUACAUCUCGCUCUGGGCGUGCUGCGGGUUCCGGCCGUUAAAAGCCUUAUUUACCCAAGGUUGACCUCGGAUCAGGUAGGAAGACCCGCUGAACUUAAGCAUAUCAAUAAGCGGAGGA
rnacentral:misc_RNA from 1 species